AUUGAACGCUGGCGGCAGGCCUAACACAUGCAAGUCGAGCGGGGUUUUCGGACCUAGCGGCGGACGGGUGAGUAAUGCGUAGGAAGCUACCCGAUAGAGGGGAUACCAGUUGGAAACGACUGUUAAUGCCCGCAUAAAUGUCUACGGACCAAAGUGUGGGACCUUCGGGCCACAUGCUAUCGGAUGCGCCUACGUGGGAUUAGCUAGUUGGUGAGGUAAUGGCUCACCAAGGCGACGAUCUCUAGCUGGUUUGAGAGGAUGAUCAGCCACACUGGAACUGAGACACGGUCCAGACUCCUACGGGAGGCAGCAGUGGGGAAUAUUGGACAAUGGGCGCAAGCCUGAUCCAGCCAUGCCGCGUGUGUGAAGAAGGCCUC
rnacentral:rRNA from 1 species